rnacentral:rRNA from 1 species
AGAGAUCUGGAGGAAUACCGGUGGCGAAGGCGGCCCCCUGGACGAAGACUGACGCUCAGGUGCGAAAGCGUGGGGAGCAAACAGGAUUAGAUACCCUGGUAGUCCACGCCGUAAACGAUGUCGACUUGGAGGUUGUGCCCUUGAGGCGUGGCUUCCGGAGCUAACGCGUUAAGUCGACCGCCUGGGGAGUACGGCCGCAAGGUUAAAACUCAAAUGAAUUGACGGGGGCCCGCACAAGCGGUGGAGCAUGUGGUUUAAUUCGAUGCAACGCGAAGAACCUUACCUGGUCUUGACAUCCACGGAAGUUUUCAGAGAUGAGAAUGUGCCUUCGGGAACCGUGAGACAGGUGCUGCAUGGCUGUCGUCAGCUCGUGUUGUGAAAUGUUGGGUUAAGUCCCGCAACGAGCGCAACCCUUAUCCUUUGUUGCCAGCGGUCCGGCCGGGAACUCAAAGGAGACUGCCAGUGAUAAACUGGAGGAAGGUGGGGACGACGUCAAGUCAUCAUGGCCCUUACGACCAGGGCUACACACGUGCUACAAUGGCGCAUACAAAGAGAAGCGACCUCGCGAGAGCAAGCGGACCUCAUAAAGUGCGUCGUAGUCCGGAUUGGAGUCUGCAACUCGACUCCAUGAAGUCGGAAUCGCUAGUAAUCGUGGAUCAGAAUGCCACGGUGAAUACGUUCCCGGGCCUUGUACACACCGCCCGUCACACCAUGGGAGUGGGUUGCAAAAGAAGUAGGUAGCUUAACCUUCGGGAGGGCGCUUACCACUUUGUGAUUCAUGACUGGGGUGAAGUCGUAACAAGGUAACCGUAGGGGAACCUGCGGUUGGAUCACCUCCUU